rnacentral:rRNA from 1 species
CCUGAGUACGACGGAGCACGUGAAAUUCCGUCGGAAUCUGGGAGGACCAUCUCCUAAGGCUAAAUACUCUCUAGUGACCGAUAGUGAACCAGUACCGUGAGGGAAAGGUGAAAAGUACCCCGGAAGGGGAGUGAAAGAGAACUUGAAACCGUGUGCUUACAAGUAGUCAGAGCCCGUUAAUGGGUGAUGGCGUGCCUUUUGUAGAAUGAACCGGCGAGUUACGAUCUGAUGCAAGGUUAAGCAGAAAAUGUGGAGCCGUAGCGAAAGCGAGUCUGAAUAGGGCGAAUGAGUAUUUGGUCGUAGACCCGAAACCAGGUGAUCUACCCUUGGUCAGGUUGAAGUUCAGGUAACACUGAAUGGAGGACCGAACCGACUUAC